CUUGUWCGACUUCCCCCAAUCAUCUGUCCCACCUUAGGCGGCUGGCUCCAAAAGGUUACCUCACCGACUUCGGGUGUUACAAACUCUCGUGGUGUGACGGGCGGUGUGUACAAGGCCCGGGAACGUAUUCACCGCGGCAUGCUGAUCCGCGAUUACUAGCGAUUCCAGCUUCAUGCAGGCGAGUUGCAGCCUGCAAUCCGAACUGAGAACGGUUUUAUGGGAUUG
rnacentral:rRNA from 1 species